rnacentral:rRNA from 1 species
GACGAACGCUGGCGGCGUGCUUAACACAUGCAAGUCGAACGGUAAGGCCCUUCGGGGUACACGAGUGGCGAACGGGUGAGUAACACGUGGGUGAUCUGCCCUGCACUUCGGGAUAAGCCUGGGAAACUGGGUCUAAUACCGGAUAGGACCCUGGGAUGCAUGUCCUGGGGUGGAAAGCUUUUGCGGUGUGGGAUGGGCCCGCGGCCUAUCAGCUUGUUGGUGGGGUGAUGGCCUACCAAGGCGACGACGGGUAGCCGGCCUGAGCGGGUGACCGGCCACACGGGGACUGAGAUACGGCCCAGACUCCUACGGGAGGCAGCAGAGGGGAAUAUUGCACAAUGGGCGCAAGCCUGAUGCAGCGACGCCGCGUGAGGGAUGACGGCCUUCGGGUUGUAAACCUCUUUCAGCACCGACGAAGCGCAAGUGACGGUAGGUGCAGAAGAAGGACCGGCCAACUACGUGCCAGCAGCCGCGGUAA